rnacentral:rRNA from 1 species
CGUGUAGGCGGUCUAGUUAAGUCUGAUGUGAAAGCCCUGGGCUCAACCCAGGAAGUGCAUUGGAAACUGGCAGACUUGAGUACGGGAGAGGAAAGUGGAAUUCCGAGUGUAGGGGUGAAAUCCGUAGAUAUUCGGAGGAACACCAGCGGCGAAGGCGGCUUUCUGGACCGAUACUGACGCUGAGACGCGAAAGCGUGGGGAGCAAACA